AGGAGGUUGAGAAGCACUGGUUUAUGAUAAAGGUUUUUAGUGAUAAUUUUAUGCCUAAACAUAAUUUUCUAAAGUCUUUGGUAACUUAACACUUUGGUGUUUGCUGGGUUAAAUAAUAAAAAGUAUUAAAUAUCUAGGUAUCUAUAAUAAUAAAAGUGUAAUAUGCUUUUGACUAUAUAUCUUUCCAGAUGUCCUUCCCUGACAAAGCCAAGGCAGCCAUGGGAUUGAGGGAGCCGAACCCAGCUGCAAAGGUCUACUCUUGCACGAAUUUUAUGCAUUGGGCCUCUAGUUUUGAAAUAACGGGAUACUGAAAUAUUAAUUAAUUUGAGUUUGCCUACUUUGGGGUUUUUAUUACAGAGAAUCUAGAGUAGGGGUGUCGAACUCAAUCAGAGAAGGGGCCAAAAUCUAAAAUCCAGCCUAAAUCGCGGGCCGAAUGGUUUA